rnacentral:lncRNA from 1 species
UUGAUAACUUCUUUUCCGGACUAAAUGGGAAUUCUGCAUCGAUUGAACUACAAAAAAAGGGGGUCAGGAUGGCUCAUUCAUCAACAGCAACCCACAUCCAAAUCAUGUUCCAUAAAAGGUUAAAAAAAAAAAAAAAGACAUUUUCACCACCAACCUACAAAGCUAGCAACCAAACAUCCUAUAGACACCUAAAAGAGUAACAAGUUCAAGAACCCAACCACUUACAAAAAAAUGGAAAAAAGAAGAGGUUCACGAACCCAACCCAACUUCAGUGGGAGCAUGACCACCUUGAAUUCCCAAAACAUGGUUAUUGUAGGAGUUUCCACCAGCCCCCCUGC